GUGUGUUACCGGGCCCUCCAACAGCUGCUGAAGUCUUCCUACUGCCUCCAGUAGAGACAAAUUCAUCACACACACACACACACACCUCCCAGCUGAGCAGCAUCGAUCAGGAGCUGGAGAAAAUGAGUAAGGUGCUUGUGCAUGCACUUAACCAGAACUGGGUGGAGUUUCUGCUUAGGCCAGAGGUGAGGAUAACAGCCCGACUCACACACCUCGGCCUAGCUUCUCAGGUGGGGUCUGACCAUCUGCCUGGCAUCUCUGUUCUGCUGUUGUUCCUUUCUAUGGCUGCGGUUGGAGUGGUGACCUUCUUCAUGUAUA